rnacentral:rRNA from 1 species
GACGAACCGUGCGAACGUUAUUCGGAAUCACUGGGCUUAAAGCGCGUGUAGGCGGGGCGGCACGUCCGUCGCUGAAAUCCCCCGGCUCAACCGGGGAACGGGCGCGGAUACGACCGCCCUGGAGGGGCGUAGGGGGACCUGGAACUUCCGGUGGAGCGGUGAAAUGCGCAGAUAUCAGGAAGAACACCUAUGGCGAAGGCAGCUCUCUGGGACGGUACUGACGCUGAGACGCGAAAGCGUGGGGAGCGAACAGG